rnacentral:rRNA from 1 species
UAGGGAAUCUUCGGCAAUGGACGAAAGUCUGACCGAGCAACGCCGCGUGAGUGAAGAAGGUUUUCGGAUCGUAAAACUCUGUUGUUAGAGAAGAACAAGGACGUUAGUAACUGAACGUCCCCUGACGGUAUCUAACCAGAAAGCCACGGCUAACUACGUGCCAGCAGCCGCGGUAAUACGUAGGUGGCAAGCGUUGUCCGGAUUUAUUGGGCGUAAAGCGAGCGCAGGCGGUUUCUUAAGUCUGAUGUGAAAGCCCCCGGCUCAACCGGGGGGGGUCAUUGGAAACUGGGAGACGUGAGUGCAGAAGAGGAGAGUGGAAUUCCAUGUGUAGCGGUGAAAUGCGUAGAUAUAUGGCAGAACACCAGUGGCGAAGGCGGCUCUCUGGUCUGUAACUGACGCUGAGGCUCGAAAGCGUGGGGAGCAAACAGG